rnacentral:misc_RNA from 1 species
UUCAUCUUUGGGAGAAGUCAG